CUCUAAAGAGCCGUUCGAGACUAGGACGUUGAUAGGUUGGAUGUGGAAGCAUAGUGAUAUGUGAAGCUGACCAAUACUAAUUGCUCGUGAGGCUUGACUAUACAACACCCAAGCAGUUG
rnacentral:rRNA from 2 species